GGGCGACCAUCUAGCCGCGCGCGAAAGGGAGAGCGACGUAUGCCGGUGUUCGUCUGGAAGGGCCGCACGAUGGCCGGGGAGACCCAGGCCGGCGAGCUGACGUUCGAUCGCCAGGAAGAGGCGAUCUACUUCUUGCGCAAGAAGCGCAUCCUCGUCACCUCGCUGCGCGAGAAGUCGGGCGGGCUGAAGAUCGCGCUGCCGAAAUUCGGCAGCGGCGUGAGCACGAAGGACAUGGCGAUCUUCACGCGCCAGUUCGCGACCAUGAUCUCGGCCGGCCUGCCGCUCGUGCAGUGCCUCGACAUCCUCGCGACGCAGUGCGCGAAGCCCGGCUUCGCAAAGGUGAUCUCCGACGUCACGCGCGAGGUCGAGGCGGGCUCGACGCUGGCCGACGCGCUGGGCAAGAACAAGAAGGUGUUCGACGACCUGUUCCGUAACAUGGUUGCGGCCGGCGAGGCGGGCGGCAUUCUCGACGAUAUUCUCCUGCGCCUGGCGCAGUACAUCGAGAAGGCCGACGCCCUCAAGCGGAAGAUCCAGGGCGCCAUGAUCUACCCGGCGGUGGUCAUGUGCGUCGCGCUCGGCGCGACGGCGUUCAUGCUGAUCUUCAUCAUCCCGACGUUCGCGAAGAUGUUCACCGACUUCGGAGGCGAGCUGCCGCUGCCCACCAAGCUCGUGCUCGGGGCCUCGAACAUCUUGCGCAGCUACUGGUGGGUGGCCGCGGGCGGCAUCGUCCUGGGCAUCACCGGCCUGAAGAAGUGGUACACGACGGACAUCGGCCAGAAGAAGAUCGACGGCUUCAUGC
rnacentral:misc_RNA from 1 species